GAUGAACGCUAGCGGGAGGCUUAAUACAUGCAAGUCGAGCGAGAAGAUUGGUGCUUGCACUGAUCGGACAGCGGCGCACGGGUGAGUAACGCGUACGCAAUCUACCUUUUACAGAGGGAUAGCCCCGGGAAACUGGGAUUAAUACCUCAUGGUCCGUAACCAUGGCAUCAUGGUAACGGUAAAGUUCCGACGGUAAAAGAUGAGCGUGCGUAAUAUUAGCUAGUUGGUGAGGUAACGGCUCACCAAGGCGAUGAUAUUUAGGGGGCGUGAGAGCGUGAUCCCCCACACGGGUACUGAGACACGGACCCG
rnacentral:rRNA from 1 species